rnacentral:rRNA from 1 species
AUGAGGGUGGUGGUGACGGGCGCGACGGGGUACCUGGGCGGGCGCCUGUGCGCGGCGCUGGCGGGGGCGGGGCACGACGUGCGGGCGUUCGUGCGCCGCACCGGCGACGCGUCCGGCCUGCCCGACGCCGUCGAGCUCGCCUACGGCGACGUCGGCGACGCGGACUCCCUCGCCGCGGCCUUCGACGGGCGCGACGCCGUCUUCCACGCCGCCGCCUCCGUCGAGCCAUGGCUCCCCGACCCCUCCGUCUUCACGGCCGUCAAUGUGAGAGGGCUUGAGAAUGUGUUAACAGCGGCCAAGAGAACGCCGACAGUAAAGAAGAUCAUAUACACGUCGUCGUUCUUCGCACUUGGCCCAACAGAUGGUUAUGUCGCAGAUGAGACACAGAUGCACAAAGGGAAAACAUUUUGCACGGAGUAUGAGAAAUCAAAGGUUCUUGCAGAUAGAAUCGCAUUGCAGGCAGCAGCAGAGGGGGUGCCAAUAACCAUUGUCUAUCCAGGAGUCAUCUAUGGUCCUGGAAAACUUACAACUGGAAACCUUGUUUCCCGCAUUUUAAUUGAAAGGUUUAAUGGCCGUCUACCUGGCUACAUUGGAGAUGGGUAUGAUAGAGAAUCAUUUUGCCAUGUCGACGAUGUUGUUAGUGGGCACAUAGCAGCUAUGGAGAAGGGCAGAGUGGGAGAAAGAUAUCUGCUCACCGGCGAAAACUUGUCAUUCAUGCAUAUUUUCAGUAUGGCUGCUAAUAUCACAAACACAAAGGCCCCGUACUUCCACGUACCGCUCUGGUUGAUUGAAAUAUAUGGAUGGAUUUCAGUUUUCAUUUCCCGCAUCACUGGAAAGCUCCCUCUUAUCAGUUACCCUACAGUGCGUGUUAUUAGACAUCAAUGGGCGUAUUCAUGUGAGAAAGCAAAAAGGGAACUAGGCUACAAUCCAAGAAACUUGACUGAAGGUCUUGCUGAGAUGCUUUUAUGGCUCAAGAACGAGAAACUGAUCAAAUUUUAG